rnacentral:tRNA from 1 species
GGGGUUAUGGCUCAGCAGUAGAGCACUCACCUCACAUGUGUGGGUCCCUGGGUUCGAUCCUCAGUACCA